GCUUCUCCUGGAUUUGCAAUCCAUGUUCUUAGACCCUAGGUCAUAAUAUGACAUGUUCUGUUAUUCCCAGACAAAAACUGUAUUAAGAUGGAGUUAUGGUUGGGUGUAUGCAUCAGGAAUUUAGAGUAAAAUAUGGUAGAGAUGUGGAAAUAAUCUUAAAAACAAGUGCUACAAACCAGGAAAUCCAGAAUUAAGGUUAAACUUAAAAGAAAUCCAGAUAUUUUUAUGGUAUGAAAACGCACAAUUAGUUCACCAAACAACUUUAACUCUGCCCUAUAGUUAUUUAUUUAGCGUGUGCAUAGUCGUCUAGCCAAGCAUUGGCAUCUUCAGUGGUGUGAUGCAGUUCUUCUGGGCCACUGCUGAACCUAGUCAGCAGGCAUUCAUCGACAAUGUGCGUCAUCGUCUGUCUUGCGCUGCAGCUGCACAAAGGGCUGUCACGAAAACCCCAGCGAUAUUGGUUGGCGGCACAGAGACCUUGUUCAACAGGGACCAUUGGGGAUGGGGCAGGUCAAAACCAGGCGGGCAGAUUGUGGAGUCGGCGACGAGGGACUGGUUGGGGAGUAUAACAGAUAUCCAUUCCUCUCGGGAGAGCGUUUCCACCCUAACAUCCUGGUGUGGCGGAUGAGACCAUAAUGGGCAAUGUGACGGCAAACGUGCAGCUGGUGGUUUAAAAAGAUCAUUGUGCAGUGGCAGGCUUGAGUUGGCGUGUACUUUCUCUAGUAACCUGCCAGUGGCAACCUCUUGUCUGAUAUGAGGAGGAGCAAUAUUGCUCAGAACUGGAAGCCAUGGAGUCGGACACAGGAUGCCAGAGAUGAUACACAUGGCGGCAUGUAACUGCGUAUCUACCAGUUUGGUGUGUGAUGAUUGACACCAAACUGGUGCACGGGACUGUGCCACUGAAUAUGAGGUAGCAAGAGCUGACGUCCGCAAAGUUGGAGCUUGAGCACCCCAUGACGAACAUGCCAGUUUGCUAAGAAGAUUGUUGUGCAUCUUAACUUUAGCUGCUGUCUUCUUCAGGUGCUGAGCCAUUAAGCCACAUCUUCUGUAGGAUUUGAAGAUGCUCACCUCCUUUCAGAAGAGCUCAGCGCUUCUGAGGAUCUGACUUCUUCGAUGAAAAUCUUCGGUCACUCAUUGAGAAUCAGGAAAAGCAGUACGUUGUUACUUUUGAAUAAACACUACAGACCA